rnacentral:rRNA from 1 species
AGUGAACGCUGGCGGUAGGCCUAACACAUGCAAGUCGAACGGCAGCACAGUAAGAGCUUGCUCUUACGGGUGGCGAGUGGCGGACGGGUGAGGAAUACAUCGGAAUCUACUUUUUCGUGGGGGAUAACGUAGGGAAACUUACGCUAAUACCGCAUACGACCUACGGGUGAAAGCAGGGGAUCUUCGGACCUUGCGCGAUUGAAUGAGCCGAUGUCGGAUUAGCUAGUUGGCGGGGUAAAGGCCCACCAAGGCGACGAUCCGUAGCUGACCUGAGAGGGUGAUCGGCCACAGUGGAACUGAGACACGGUCCAGACUCCUACGGGAGGCAGCAGUGGGGAAUCUGCAGCAAUGGGCGGAAGCCUGACGGAGCCACGCCGCGUGAGUGAUGAAGGUCUUCGGAUCGUAAAACUCUGUUAUUAGGGAAGAACAUAUGUGUAAGUAACCGUGCACAUCUUGACGGUACCUAAUCAGAAAGCCACGGCUAACUACGUG